GACGAACGCUGGCGGCGUGCUUAACACAUGCAAGUCGUACGGAGUGGCGAACGGGUGAGUAUUACGUGAGUAACCUGCCCUCAACUGUGGGAUAAGCCUGGGAAACUGGGUCUAAUACUGCAUAGUUGGGGAUGGGCUCGCGGCCUAUCAGCUUGUUGGUGGGGUUAUGGCCUACCAAGGCGGUGACGGGUAGCCGGCCUGAGAGGGUGGUUGUCCACAUUGGGACUGAGGGACGGCCCAGGAUCCCACGGGAGGAAGCAGGUGGGGGUAAUGCACAAUGGGCGCAAGCCUGAUGCAGCGACGCCGCGUGAGGGAUGAAGGCUUUCGGGUUGUAAACCUCUUUCGGUACAGAACGGGUAUGUGCAGAAGAAGCGCCGGCUAACUACGUGCCAGCCGCCGCGGUAAUAC
rnacentral:rRNA from 1 species